AGCCUCCGGCGGCGCCCACGCCGCCCCUCCGCCGGGAACAAACGCCUUCCAAUCGAAAGACCGUCUCCCGGGUACCCCUAAAGGUGUGUACUGCUACUGCCAGGAGGCCUAGAUCCUUUGAUCGCCCAAACCAUCCGCUACUGUGUUACAGUGAAGUCCAUUGGAGUCAUCCGCUUAGCAAAUAGGGUGCUGGCACUUUGAAAUACGUUAGGUCCGGUGUUUCGCCAGAGGAGUACUAAGAAGGAGCUGCGAUCCCCCUGUUCUCCACGUUGAGGCAGUGGGAUGGUGUUCCUGGCACACCUGUAAGCCACCGGGCACAGGCUUCUCCCCCUGGAAAGUUCUGCCACUUCGCCAGAGCAGACUGUUGAAUAAUUGCAAUAAAAGCAUGGAGAAAAAGCCAGAUGGAAGAAUUGUUUUAAAACAAGUAACCCACCAGUGGAUGAGAAGACACUACAACUUCAGUUAAUUCUAGCAACCAAAUAUAAGAUACUCCUCUUAAGAGUGGAAAAUGGCACGGAAAUGGGUUGGCAUUGAUAACUGUUGUUGGCAGACAUCACCUCUCACAGCUUUUCGCCUUGUCAAAGGAUGCCUCGUUCCCAAGGGAGUUCUGUAAGAGCAAAGCAAACGACCUGUAGGCAUAAAUCAGCGAGUUUGCUGCACGAGAGGACAUUCAUCUGGAAAGUCAGACACCCCUGUCAACUUCCAAUUUCUGGAGGUGGCAUUUCUUGAGGCCCUCCCUCUUGGAUUGGAGGUUUCCAGCCCAGGCGCCUGUCUCUUUACUAGGCUAUAAAGGACUUCCCUUCCCAAGGCCUCCUCAAGGUCCCUGCUGGCUGCGGCAGUCUCGGCAUUUAGGUGUUUCUCUUAACCAGCAACAAGAGAGGGAUUUAGAGGACCUUCUUGACUUAAAAGCAUUUUCUGGAAGUUGCACGUCCUAUUCUCCUUACAGUCCUCAGUGGGUAUGUAGCCAUGUGACCAGACCUAAAGCCAGGGAGGCUCUGUGCUCAGCUAGAAAUGGAGAAUAAUGAUUAGGAGAUAAUUAGAAGCCUCUGAACUCAGGUAGCUGGUGGAGGCAGAACUUGUGAGUUAUUUCAGCUCCUCUCAAUUCCUGUCCUUUCUUUCUUCCUCACACUUCCACUAAUUAUGUGAAUGUGCCCAACGUUCGUUAUCAUUGCGCUCUUCGGGCCCGACUAGAAGUCUUUCUUUACUACCUCACAAACCUUUUCCGAACAACCCCAUGCUCUAGCUCUCCGAAUUUCAGUGUUCCGUCUACACCACACAGUCUGGGCUGUACUGUGUUGUAGAUGCUUCUAUUUCUGCAGAGCCAGUCCUAACUGCAUUGCAAGUUUCAAGAAGCCAGCGAGUAUAACUUUACGACAGGGCUGUGGCUGAUCUUAGUUUUUGAUUUUCUGGAUCCAGUGGUCUUUGAGUCCUCAUCUAAUGACAUCUAAAGAGUUAGAUCUGGGACACAGGGCACCCGCAGUCUACAGAAAGAGUGAUCUCGAACUCUGACCCCUCUCGGUGUUCAUUUGUGGGACAUUUUAGUACUGUCAACGUUUGCAGACUCUUGUCCUACAGACUGGAUCUCGUUUGUACACAUAUUUUGUUUGGCUUCUAUAAGGUCAUUAAAAGAAUGAUUUAGUUCUUUAAAGCUUUAAAAAUCAGGAGAUGUCCACCGUAAAAAAAGAAGAUUGGAUUUCUAGCUUCUCUGAAAAUAUUCAAAGGUCUGGGAUCAUUGGGCCAGUACUGCCAAUAUGCUGAAUAGUUAUCAUCCGUUGUGGAAGAGAUAAUACUUCCACUAAAUCUCAUUUAUUUUUCCCUGCAUGCAUAACUAAAUUAUAUUUCCCAAUAAAUUACAAAUAGCUCUUUGAUUCAGCUCAAUCAAUCAAAUGUAGAUUUGUAACAUCAAGAAUAGAUGCUGAAAAAAUGACCCAUUCUAUGCUCACUUCCUCACCCUAUAUGUUGGACCGAUGCAUUUUUAACUUUGAUAUUUCCUAAUAGCAGAAACAGAUACAUGAGCUUUUAUGUUUCUUUGUAUAAACCCUCUCAACAUAGGACCAGUAACUAUUCAAUUCAUAGCCAUUUUAAAUUUCAUGUGAUUUUUUUUACAGAAUUCCAUUUAAUAUUAAUGUCAUCAAAAUGUAAAAUAUAUUUGAGACUAUACUAAAAUAAUUCCUUCACCUUAAAAUAUCGAGUAUUUCCACAUUUCUGUCCUUCUCUGAACUUUUUCAAUCUGUAACCUAAUUUGAAAUAAAAAUGUGGGAGUUUCGGCCGGGGCUCAGGGGAAACGAAUCUGACUAGUAUCCAUGAGGACGCAGGUUUGAUCCUCAGUGGGUUAAGAAUCCGGCAUUGCUGUGAGCUGUGGUGUAGACAUUGCCAUGAGCUGUGGUGUAGGUUGCAGACGUGGCUCAGAUCUGGCAUUGCUGUGGCUGUAGCGUAGGCCAGUGGCUACAGCUCUGAUUCGCCCCCUAGCCUGGGAACCUCCGUAUGCCCUGGGUGGGGUGGCCUUAAAAAGACCAAAAAGAAAGAAAGAAAAAAA
rnacentral:lncRNA from 1 species